AGUGAACGCUGGCGGUAGGCCUAACACAUGCAAGUCGAACGGCAGCACAGUAAGAGCUUGCUCUUACGGGUGGCGGGUGGCGGACGGGUGAGGAAUACAUCGGAAUCUACUUUUUCGUGGGGGAUAACGUAGGGACACUUACGCUAAUACCGCAUACGACCUACGGGUGAAAGCAGGGGAUCUUCGGACCUUGCGCGAUUGAGUGAGCCGAUGUCGGAUUAGCUAGUUGGCGGGGUAAAGGCCCACCAAGGCGACGAUGCGUAGCUGGUCUGAGAGGAUGAUCAGCCACACUGGAACUGAGACACGGUCCAGACUCCUACGGGAGGCAGCAGUGGGGAAUAUUGGACAAUGGGCGCAAGCCUGAUCCAGCCAUACCGCGUGAGUGAAGAAGGCCUUCGGGUUGUAAAGCGCUUUUGUUGGGAAAGAAAAGCAGCAGGUUAAUACCCCGCUGUUCUGACGGUACCCAAAGAAUAAGCACCGGCUAACUUCGUG
rnacentral:rRNA from 1 species